rnacentral:rRNA from 1 species
AGCGAACGCUGGCGGCAGGCCUAACACAUGCAAGUCGAACGGAUCCUUCGGGAUUAGUGGCGGACGGGUGAGUAACACGUGGGAACGUGCCCUUUGGUUCGGAACAACUCAGGGAAACUUGAGCUAAUACCGGAUGUGCCCUUCGGGGGAAAGAUUUAUCGCCAUUGGAGCGGCCCGCGUCUGAUUAGCUAGUUGGUGAGGUAAAGGCUCACCAAGGCGACGAUCAGUAGCUGGUCUGAGAGGAUGAUCAGCCACAUUGGGACUGAGACACGGCCCAAACUCCUACGGGAGGCAGCAGUGGGGAAUCUUGCGCAAUGGGCGAAAACCUGACGCAGCCAUGCCGCGUGAAUGAUGAAGGUCUUAGGAUUGUAAAAUUCUUUCACCGGGGACGAUAAUGACGGUACCCGGAGAGGAAGCCCCGGCUAACUUCGUGCCAGCAGCCGCGGUAA